UACGGGGGGGGCAAGCGUUGUUCGGAAUUACUGGGCGUAAAGCGCACGUAGGCGGCUUUGUAAGUUAGAGGUGAAAGCCCGGGGCUCAACUCCGGAACUGCCUUUAAGACUGCAUCGCUUGAAUCCAGGAGAGGUGAGUGGAAUUCCGAGUGUAGAGGUGAAAUUCGUAGAUAUUCGGAAGAACACCAGUGGCGAAGGCGGCUCACUGGACUGGUAUUGACGCUGAGGUGCGAAAGCGUGGGGAGCAAACAGG
rnacentral:rRNA from 1 species